AUGAGGCGUGCGGAGGAGCCAGGGGAGCACCAGGGCGCGCCAGCUCGGUGGUGGUGGUGGCUGGCCUCGUCGCCGCGGCGCUGGCUCCGGUUCGUGCUUGUUCGGCGAUGGCGGCGGCGGUGGUGGUGGGUGGCCUCGCCGUCCCCGAUGCAGGAGGAAGCACCGGAGGCGAGUGGAUACGACGCAGCCGCCUCCCCACACAACGACGUGCUCGCCGCCGCCCUUCUCAACGGGUCGUCGCCAGCGCAUCUCCCUGCUCUCGAGGCCAACCUCGCCGCAUCGCUCGCCGGCGUGGAAUCCUCGGCAUCCACGCCAUCGCUGCCCCUGCUACAGGAGGGAGCACCGGGGCGCAGUGAUCACGGCACAGCCGCCUCCACGCGCAGCGACGCAUCCUCCCCAGCGCCUCUCCCUGCGCUCGGGGCCAACCUCGACGCAUCGCUCGCCAGCGUGGAGUCCUCGGCAUCCACGACCUCAGCGCUCCUGCUGCGGGAGGGAGUAGCGGAGGCGAGUGAGCACGGCACGGGCGCCUCCCUGCACAGCGACGUGCUCGUCGCCGCCGUCCUCAACGAUUCCCCGCCGUGCCAUCCGCAGGAGGGACCCAAGGCGAGUGGUCAUGGUGUGGCUGCGCCCCAACACACGGACCCGACCUCGCCUUCACCGCCGGAUAGUUGCGACGGCACGAUCAUCUCUCUUGAGGAGGAGGUGGCAGUGGUGGUAGAGCAGUUGAGUGGCCACAGGGUGGCUGCAUCCCAACACACGGCCCCGACCUUGCCUUCACUGCCGGAUAGCUGCGACGGCGCGAUUAUCUGUCUUGAGGAGGAGGAAGAGGAGGUGGUGGUGGAGGAGGAGGAAGAGGAGGAGGUGGUGGUGGAGCAGGAGGGGGAGGAGGACGACGACGAUGAUCCGGAUAGGAAGCCAUGUGGCGGAAACCCCCAAACAUUCAAUAGUGUGUCUCAUGUGCUUCCUUGA
rnacentral:rRNA from 1 species